AGUCACAGCACCUAAACUAACCUAAGUCAGGAAGCAUCUGUGAUUGGCCAUCCUGAGUCACAUGCCCAUUGUAGCUGGGAGUGGAGUCACGGCACCUAAACCAACGUAAGGCAGGAAGGAGCUGUGAUUGGCCACCCUGAGCCACAUGCCCAUUAGUAGCUGGGGGUGGAGUCACAGCACCUAAACCACACCCUAAGGCAGGAAGGAGGUGUGAUUGGCCAUCCUGAGUUACAUGCCCGUUGUAGCUUGGGGUGGAGUCACAGCACCUAAAGCGCAUGGACUGGAAGUAGAGGGAAGGGCAGUUUCCCAGAGGAAAACCAGAGUGAUAUCAUUAGAAAAAAGAGUUCCUGCUGAGAGGCAAAGAUUUACACAUGCAGACCCCAGCCACUAUUUACUGAGGGCUAGAUUGUACCAGGCACUUUACCUGUGCUGUGAUCAUGUAAUCCUGUCAACUGUGACAACUCUGGUGAGAGGUCAGCUCAGAGGGAGCAGGUUGCAGCUGCCUACACCCCGAAGCCUGCGGCAUCCGGGGCUCUCCUGCCUUGUGCCCUCUGGAUCGUACUCACCUGUGGCCGUGGACCUUGGGCCUGGGAGGAUAGCGGUGAGCCCACCUCCCACGGCUCGCCUUCUGGGGCCGGCUGACUUGCUGGGCCAUUAACCAGCAAAGCCGCAGCAGCAAUAAAAUUAAUUUCCUUCCUAAUAUAUACAAGACUUUCUGCAGGAGAAUUAUGGACCGAUUUGAUCAAAGUGUGCAAAACCCAGCAGGAAGAUAGAAGACAAUAGAGCCGUGAUUUUGACCCAGCCUCCCAGGACACAGAUGGGGUGAAGAAAUCAAAGGGGCAAACAGAAUUUGCAGCCCAAGUUUCGAAGGGGCAGUUGGGAGACAUCUUUAGGCUUUCUGCAACCAAGCCACCGUCUUCCACACAGCAAGAGACAGUUACUCAGUGGAGGAAUAAGCCUUCAGUUGCAUACCGCUCUGUGCAUUGGAUGGGAGGAUUUUGAAACUUUUGGAAGCUCCAUACUGUGGCUUUAUUCCAUGAAUCCACCAGCGCUGUGCACCAAAGUUUCUCUGUGGAGGGAGAACAUAUUUUUGCAGAGCAAGUACAGAUAAGAGGUUGGGUGCCUGAAGCCUGGAUAAUAAUAGAAUGACAGCUGAUGAUUCAUCAGUGCUCUUCAGAGCCAGCUGAUAAUACGUUGCCAGCCUUUCCCCUUUGCUCAGACAGAACAGCCACCCUCACCCACGGGGAUUCCUGCCCAGAAGGAAUUUCCACAGCCCUGUACCAAGCAUGCUUAAAGUGGCUGCCAUUUAUGUGGGGUUUCCAUGUGCCAAGGGGCACGCCAAUGGUCCUUUACAUCAACUCACUUAAUCUUUAUAUCCUCAUGACCGCCCCAGGAGAUACAUAAUAACAUCUACAUUUUAUAGGCAGAGACAGAAGCUUGGCUCAGCAUAACAGAGAGGGAGUGUGGAGCAGUGGUCAGGAUCACAGCCAGUAAAUCCAGAUGACCUGGGUUCAAGUCCCAGUCCUGCCACUUCCCAGCUGUGGGCUUUUGCACAAGUCACAUGGUCUUCCUGUGUCUCAGCCCCCACCCCCCCAUCUGUAAACAAAACAACACUGUAAAAUAACAGUGUCUACCUCAUGGGGAUCUUGCAAAGAUCAAAUAAAGAGCUUUGAAGAACAUCUGACUUAUAGUAAGCUCUGUGUGAGCAUUAGCUCAGAGAUAGUUCUCAUGUUAAACUAAAUAAGUUGCCCAAAGUCACAUAGACAGAAAUUAGCAGUGCUGAUUGUGCAAACCUGCAUCCUGAAGUGAGGCCUUGGAACCAGGGUUGUCCUGGAGCUGGUUUUACCAGCUUGCAAGAGCCAACUGUUAAAUUCUCAGGACUUCUGUGAACCAGUUGUUAAACACAGACAUUAUUAAAAAUUAAAUUAU
rnacentral:lncRNA from 1 species